AGGAAAUUUCCAUUGAGCUAGGUAGAGUGCCUAUAAAUUAAGAGUUUGGAUCCACAAAAAUGUAAGAAGAAAAACACAAUCCAAAUCAAAUACAAUCCAAUCUAAUUGCAUUGCGCUUAGCAAAUUAUGGCAAAAGUUCAUCCAAGUCUCUCAACUAUUUUCUUCGGGCUGUUCUUGAUUUUGAUUGUCUCCGAUACCGGAUACGUCCAUGGCCAAUCAUGUUAUCCAGUUGCGACCGUUCAAAAUGUGGCCAACUGUGUAAGGAGUUCCCUAACCUGUUAUAAUGCAUGUUACGGGAAAAUUGAAAUUGGUGAAAUAACCAUGUUUGAUUAGGCGACCUGUGGGUAUGAUCAAGAUACUGGUGCUCCCGCCUGCAUAUGUUGCAUCAAUGGAUAAUCCGCCAGAUCAACUUUCCACUAUUAUUGUUAUCUUAUCUUUACUUUCUCGUUUUAUCUCAAUAAGUUUCAUGAAACAACUUUGGCUUGUCAUUAGUUUGAUAUUUAUGUUCUUUUGUUUCUUUGUAUUAAUUCUUGUAUCCAGCGGUGUGUGCUUGUAUUGAAAAGUGUACUCAGUUAUCAUUCAAAUAGGAUGAUAUCGUUACAAUGAAUUAUGUGUUAACUUGAAAUUGAAUGCAAUAUUUGAGGAACGGGUUUGAACA